UGGGGAAUUUUGGACAAUGGGGGAAACCCUGAUCCAGCCAUCCCGCGUGUGCGAUGAAGGCCUUCGGGUUGUAAAGCACUUUUGGCAGGAAAGAAACGUCGCGGGUUAAUACCCCGCGAAACUGACGGUACCUGCAGAAUAAGCACCGGCUAACUACGUGCCAGCAGCCGCGGUAAUACGUAGGGUGCAAGCGUUAAUCGGAAUUACUGGGCGUAAAGCGUGCGCAGGCGGUUCGGAAAGAAAGAUGUGAAAUCCCAGAGCUUAACUUUGGAACUGCAUUUUUAACUACCGGGCUAGAGUGUGUCAGAGGGAGGUGGAAUUCCGCGUGUAGCAGUGAAAUGCGUAGAUAUGCGGAGGAACACCGAUGGCGAAGGCAGCCUCCUGGGAUAACACUGACGCUCAUGCACGAAAAGCGUGGGGAGCAAAACAGGAUUAGAUACCCUGGUAGUCCACGCCCUAAAACGAUGUCAACUAGCUGUUGGGGGCCUUCGGGCCUUGGUAGCGCAGCUAACGCGUGAAGUUGACCGCCUGGGGAGUACGGUCGCAAGAUUAAAAACUCAAAAUG
rnacentral:rRNA from 1 species